AUGCUCAUACUUUCUGUAUGGAGCUGGGAGCGCUUGUCGGUUGGAUGCCCGAAGCAGGUGAAGUAUGAGGACUGGGAUGACAAAGACAACCCACUAGGGCUCCCCACUUGGGCUUACAAGUGGGAUGUGUUAAAUGAGAUGACACACGAUCCCUUGCUCAUGUAUAAGCAGUACACAAGCGAGUUAGAGAUGAUUACGGCUGAGCAGGUUAUUUGA
rnacentral:rRNA from 1 species